AAGGAUUUAAGUUAUAUAAACUAUUAACCUUCAAAGUUAAAAAAAAACUCAAUUAAGCCUUUAAA
rnacentral:tRNA from 1 species